rnacentral:ncRNA from 1 species
AACGGAUCCGGCCUCGCCGGAUGGCUACCCCGGGCGCCGAUCCCUCGGGAAACC